rnacentral:rRNA from 1 species
UACGUAGGCAGCAAGCGUUGUUCGGAGUUACUGGGCGUAAAGGGUGUGUAGGCGGUUCUUUAAGUUUGGUGUGAAAUCUCCCGGCUCAACUGGGAGGGUGCGCCGAAUACUGAGGGACUAGAGUACGGGAGAGGAAAGUGGAAUUCCUGGUGUAGCGGUGAAAUGCGUAGAUAUCAGGAGGAACACCGGUGGUGUAGACGGCUUUCUGGACCGUAACUGACGCUGAGACACGAAAGCUAGGGGAGCAAACAGG